GGAGUCGGCCAGGCAAUCGCGUCACCCCUUCGGGGGUGCCGAGGAAAGUCCGGGCUCCACAGGGCAGGGUGCCAGGUAACGCCUGGGCGGCGCGAGCCGACGGAAAGUGCAGCAGAGAACAGACCGCCGAACGGCAUCGCAAGGUGCGCGUGGUAAGGGUGAAACGGUGCGGUAAGAGCGCACCGCCUGCGGGGCCAACGCCGCAGGGCACGGCAAACCCCACCCGGAGCAAGGCCAAAUAGGGGUGCUAUGGUGCGGCCCGCACUGCACCCGGGUAGGCUGCUUGAGGCCUGCAGCAAUGCAGCGUCCAGACGAAUGAUUGCCCACGACAGAACCCGGCUUAUCGGCCGGCUCCGCAC
rnacentral:RNase_P_RNA from 1 species